AUUGAACGCUGGCGGCAGGCCUAACACAUGCAAGUCGAGCGAGCGGCGGACGGGUGAGUAAUGUAUGGGGACUGCCCGAUAGAGGGGGAUAACUAUUGGAAACGGUGGCUAAUACCCCAUAUUGUCGGAUAACCCAUAUGGUAUUAGCUAGUAGGUAUGGUAACGGCUUACCUAGGCGACGAUCCCUAGCUGGUCUGAGAGGAUGAUCAGCCACACUGGAACUGAGACACGGUCCAGACUCCUACGGAGGCAGCAGUGGGGAAUAUUGCACAAUGGGCGCAAGCCUGAUGCAGCCAUGCCGCGUGUAUGAAGAAGGCCCUAGGGUUGUAAAGUACUUUCAGUCGGGAGGCGUUACCGACAGAAGAAGCACCGGCUAACUCCGUGCCAGCAGCCGCGGUAAUUC
rnacentral:rRNA from 1 species